CCAUGCUACUGAAGCACUCUCAUCCCCAAGUGCUGAAUCCACAGAACCUGACAGGAAAACGUUUUAAACAUGAUCUUCAUGGUCUUCAUAUUUUGUUGUCUUCAUUUGCCAGGAAACAAGGGCGCCUACGACACCAAAGAUGUUGUCCAAAAGCCUGCUUCCAUUUUGAAAAGAACCGGUGAAUCUGUUGACAGUGAGAUAAACUGCUCACACAACAUAAAAGACUUAGAUGUAAUUCUCUGGUACAAACAAGACGAACACAAUCUGCAGUACCUGGGAUAUCUGAAUCGGAAAAUGUCAUUGCUGGAGAACGACCUACCAGGACAAAUCAGCUUUAAUGGAGAUGGUCAAAAAUACUCAGACCUCACUGUUUCUAAUCUUUCAUUAAGCGACAGUGGUGUGUAUUUCUGUGCAGUCAGACAACACAGUGCUGCAAAGUGCCCGCAAGUCAACGCAAAAACCUCCGAGUCAACCCCAGACAAACAGGAUGUUCAGGAGCCCGAACACCUGCAGUCAAGCCUCCAGCUCCACUGAAGAUUUGAUCAACUUCCCUGUCACAGUUUUAACCUUUUCUGACACAACACUGUUUGUUUUAGUUGAAAUAAAGUUUGUUUUAAACUCUAACUCAAAGAUGCCUCCCAAAGUCUGAGCUGAUCAAUUGUAGACAAAGGCGUGUUUAUACCCUC